rnacentral:pre_miRNA from 1 species
UACAUACUCCCUCCGUCCGGAAAUAUUUGUUCGAAGAAUGGAUGUACCUAUAUGUAUUUUAGUUCUAGAUACAUCCAUUUGUAUCCAUUUUUACGACAAGUAUUUCCGGACAGAGGGAGUACAUC